rnacentral:lncRNA from 1 species
UGGACAGCAUAGGAGAAUAAUCGAUUAUACAAAAGUGAUAAUCGAUUAUUCUGGGAAAUUUCAUUUAUUGGAAAUUUCCGCAGAGUAGGAUAAUCGAUUAUACACUUGGGCAUAAUUGUAUCUUGUAUCCGUUGCCAAAGUUUUUGAACGACAGGCAGAUAAUCGAUUAUGCAAAUCCAAUAAUCGAUUAUCUGGCAUAAAAUCAGCUUCUGAUUUUUGAACGCUAAGCCAAUAAUCGAUUAUGCAAAUCCAAUAAUCGAUUAUUCUAGCAUAAAAUCAGCAUAAUUGAUUGUCAAUUAAGCAACGGACAUAC